rnacentral:rRNA from 1 species
UACGUAGGUGGCAAGCGUUGUCCGGAUUUACUGGGCGUAAAGAGCGCGCAGGCGGCCAAGUCAGUCGAAUGUGAAAGCCCCCGGCUCAACUGGGGAGGGUCAUUCGAUACUGCUCGGCUCGAAGACAGGAGAGGGAAGUGGAAUUCCCGGUGUAGUGGUGAAAUGCGUAGAGAUCCGGAGGAACACCGAAGGCGAAGGCAGUGUCCUGGCGCGUAACUGACGCUGAGGUGCGAAAGCCAGGGGAGCGAACGGG